AGGCAGCAGUAGGGAAUCUUCCGCAAUGGACGAAAGUCUGACGGAGCAACGCCGCGUGAACGAUGAAGGCCUUCGGGUCGUAAAGUUCUGUUGUUAGGGAAGAACAAGUACCGUUCAAAUAGGGCGGUACCUUGACGGUACCUAACCAGAAAGCCACGGCUAACUACGUGCCAGCAGCCGCGGUAAUACGUAGGUGGCAAGCGUUGUCCGGAAUUAUUGGGCGUAAAGCGCGCGCAGGCGGUUUUUUAAGUCUGAUGUGAAAUCUCGAGGCUCAACCUCGAGCGGCCAUUGGAAACUGGGAGACUUGAGUGCAGAAGAGGAGAGUGGAAUUCCAUGUGUAGCGGUGAAAUGCGUAGAUAUAUGGAGGAACACCAGUGGCGAAGGCGACUCUCUGGUCUGUAACUGACGCUGAGGCGCGAAAGCGUGGGGAGCAAACAGGAUUAGAUACCCUGGUAGUCCACGCCGUAAACGAUGAGUGCUAGGUGUUAGGGGUUUCGAUGCCCUUAGUGCCGAAGUUAACACAUUAAGCACUCCGCCUGGGGAGUACGACCGCAAGGUUGAAACUCAAAUGAAUUGACGG
rnacentral:rRNA from 1 species